rnacentral:rRNA from 1 species
AAUAAUUAAAGGAGUUUGAUGGGGAAAUUUAUUAUAAAAGUUAAAGGUGAAAUUUGGUGUUUAAGUGUAGUAAGUUUGUUUAUUAAGAGUUCUUGAGGUUAUAAAAUUUUAGAUCUAAAUCAGGAUUAGAUACCCUGUUAUACUAUCUUUCAAUUUAAGGAUACUUGAGUAGUAAUCAGUUAUGUUCUCGAAACUUAAAGGAUUUGGCGGUAUUUUAGUCUAGUUAGAGGAACCUGUUCUAUAAACGAUAAACCACGAAGAAUCUUACUCUUUUUUGUAAAUCAGUUUGUAUACCGUCAUUAUUAGAUAAUCUUUAUAAAGAAUUAUUAAAAUAAGUGUUUUAGUAUAUUAGAUCAAGGUGCAGCCAAUAAGGGAGCAAGAAAUGGGUUACAAUGUUAUUGAUAUAAACUGGGAAGAAGCUGAAAAUUUUUUUGAAGGUGGAUUUAAUAGUAAUAGUCUUUUAAUAAGGGAUUAUGAUAAUAGCUCUAAGAUAUGUACACAUCGCCCGUCGCUCUCACUCUUAAUGU